rnacentral:rRNA from 1 species
GACGAACGCUGGCGGCGUGCCUAAUACAUGCAAGUCGAACGCAGUGGGGACGGGUGAGUAACACGUGGGCAACCUCCCAUCAGAGGGGAUAACACUUGGAAACAGGUGCUAAAACGCUAUGGAUGGAUGUACCCGCGGUGCAUUAGCGAGUUGGCGAGGUAACGGCUCACCAAGGCCACGAUGCAUAGCCGGUCUGAGAGGAUGAUCGGCCACACUGGGACUGAGACACGGCCCAGACUCUUACGGGAGGCAGCAGUGGGGAAUCUUCGACAAUGGACGAAAGUCUGACGGAGCAAGGCCGCGUGUGUGAAGAAGGUUUUCGGUUCGUAAAACUCUGUUAUUGGGGAGGCGGUAUCUGACGAGAAAGCCACGGCUAACUACGUGCCAGCAGCCGCGGUAAUAC